UGAGAUAUUCACCGGAAGAGAUCUACAAAACUUCAUAUACAAUGUGCCCAACGUACCUCAACAGCCCGAUAGUGAUAGUUGUGGUGCUUUCAUGUUGGACUUCAUGGAGAAAUGGGAUGGUUCACUCAGUCACCCAAAAGAGAAGGUGGAUGUUGAUAGAUUACGUGCAAUUAUUGCUUCAAAUUUGCUUUCAGAUGACAAUAACAAAAUGAAGAAUUUUGUAAAGAACAAAGCACUUUAUCCAUUUGGUCAAGCAUGUUGAUUUCAAGUAAGCUUCCAUCAGCUUACUUGUGGUUAGUAAUUUUUUUUUUUUUUUUUUAUUUUUAUGAUUCUAACAUCACCUCCAUUAGCCAACAAGGUACCAUUUACCUCAAGGAACCUUACUAUCUCCAUCUUAAUCCAUCAAGGCGUAUAAGAUGUAAUUUCCU